UGGCUCAGUGGUUAAGAGCACUGGCUGCUUUUCCAGAGGACUUGGGUUCAAUUCCCAA
rnacentral:tRNA from 1 species